CCCCGCGACCCGAUAUUUGACUUGGGUGAUCUGGUCACCCUAAUGCUAAGGCGAGCGGAACUAAUGUGUUUGUCUACCUAUGCUGGUUUUUUUACCUACAUCUUAUCGGAAAGCAUGAGCUACUGAACUACGAUUACUAUUCUGGAUGUAGCUGUCAUUGGCACAGUGCUUUCACUGAAGUCUAGAACUGGAAGCUGUAUCAUUCUAUAUGUUCUGCUAACCUAUCACUUGAUGGGAGGAUAGAACAGAAAUGGCUGCCCUAGCAUUGGAUCAAGCAUCAGCAAAUGUAGAGAUGAGUGAAAGUUGGAAAUUUCUACAAAAUUCCUAACAAAUGAUUAAAGGAAAGAAAGGAAGAAUGGAAGCCAAGAAAAAGAGAUCCAGGAUUCAGCACCCUUCUGAGGAGCCACGUGACCAUUUGAUCCACAGGGAGCCAAGUGAGCGGGUAUCUUGGGACCCUUCAACAAAAUGACCGUUAAACUGUAAUGCUGCUGCAAAAAAGCCUGCUAGGAGAAGUGGCGUUUUAGUGCAAACACAGGUGUAUAUUUGGAG